GAAACGCGGAUUGACGUAACACCGGUAUGCAUUAUGUACAGUAAUUGCGUUGACUCCCGAUUGUACAAUGGCUGGUUGAGAAUAAUUUUAACUUAUUUACUUAUGUAUUUUUGAGAAAGCGUUAUAUUGCUACAAUAUUUUUUACAUUUAUUUCCACAAACACUCCACAGAAUGGGAGUUACAUUUGUGUCAAUCAGAACUCUUCGGGAACGUUUUGAUGUCCGUGAUGAGGACAGAGAUGCAACUGUGUCUGCAUCAAGGACCUACUGCCAGUCAACCAGAUGUUGGUCAAGAAAGAAGCAGCUGAUAGAAGAAGGCAGAGAGUUAUGGCAGCAGAGGAGGUGGCAUUCUGGGAGGAUGGCAGCUAUGAGGGGGUGUCAGGAUGGACUUUGGUGAGGUUGGGAGACCAAGUUCCCCCAAUCAGGAGGUCAAUGACAUCAGGAUUACACUACAGGAGAGACGUCGGGUCUACGCUACAGGAGAGACGCCAGGUCUACGCUACAGGAGCGAUAUGGGCCUGUCCUGAACGCAGCAUAAUGUUGGAUUAUGUUUGGACAAAAAAACACCACCAGAUGGUCCAGAAAUGUACACGCAUUUAUGUCUUAUUUUGUGUGCAAACAGUAAAAAAUAAAUAAAAUGAAAAAGAAAAAAAAACUUCUGUGCCUCAUUUAUGUUCCUUAUAUGUGAACAUAUUGCAUUUAAGCAAUAUCAAAUGAAUAUAUUUUAAUGCAGCAUUAAUUUUUUUUAUAUAGAUUUUUUUAAAUACAGCAUUAAAAAUAAUAAUUGGGGCGGGGUUCAUUUAUAAAGACAUAAGUGCUCUCCGCAUUUGCAUAUGCUAGGCUAUUCGUAUGCUAAGUAGAGUUGUUAAUACCUCCCGCCAGCCCGCUCCCUCGCACCUCCACCCCCCCCUCCUGAGAUUCCUCAGUCGACAGAUUUCGACUCCGGUGAGUGAAAAUGCAAACUGUUGAUUGCUGUCGGUAUCUGUCGCUCACCAGCUACAUUAGCGUCAGAAUACAGGGUCAAAAAUCCCACUUUUCAUGCAGUGUUUUCCUGCAGCAGCUCAAUCGGAUCAGUGUGUUGAUGAGAUCUGAAAGGUUCUGAUCCUCCAGUAAGUAAAAUAACACCAGACCCAAUCCAUCAGUAAAUAUAAAAUUUUAUUUAUACACAUAUAAAUUCAAUAAAUUAGAAUUGAAAGCCAAUUCAUUUCACUUAAUUAUAUUCACUUAGUGAAUAAAGUAAAAGGCAAAUCAGAAUAUCUCACAAACUAUAAAUAUCAGUCAGCAACGUGACUUAAGAAUUUGAUUGGAACCUGUUGGGCAAAACAGAUCCUAUAAGAACCACCCAGAGAUAAUUUUUAUGGAAUAAAGACUCAAACUGUGCAGUGCCACUAAAAAUCCACAGACUCAGCUCCCAACAGCUAACUCAGCAUAUGAGGAGGGCAGAGUACCAGACAUAUAAAACGUAAUCUGAAAUGAUUUAUAAUUACUCCAUGUCUUAUUAUAAUCAGAGAGCAAAGCUUGCAGGUUUAACUUCUACUUACUUCAGAGGACAGACCACAGGGAUGCUCCGUCUCACUUCUUGGUUUGCCUGCCUAUUUUUCCGGCCAGCGAACCAUUCUGUUACCCAGUGGUCGUUUUUCAGACCACUUAGUCGCCUGUAGUGCUCAGAAAUGCACAAUAUGUCUAUAAACAAUUCUGGAAUAUUAUAAGGAAGUGCUGAGAUAUCACAGGAAGAAAAAUGCGAUUUUUGUCAGCUAUUGACACCUUGUUCUGCCGUGCGCAUGGAGA